UACAGCCAUAUCAUGUUGAGACAUCAGUUCCCAUACGAUCACUGAAGUUAAGCAAUAUCGAGCCUUGUCAGUACCAAGAUAGGUGACUGCUUGGGAAAACAAGGUGCUGUAAU